AGUCGAGGGGUAUAGGCUUUCGGGCCUAGAGACCGGCGCACGGGUGCGUAACGCGUAUGCAAUCUACCUUUCACAGAGGGAUAGCCCAGAGAAAUUUGGAUUAAUACCUCAUGGUAUAUAGGAGUGGCAUCACUUUUAUAUUAAAGUCACAACGGUGAAAGAUGAGCAUGCGUCCCAUUAGCUAGUUGGUAAGGUAACGGCUUACCAAGGCGACGAUGGGUAGGGGUCCUGAGAGGGAGAUCCCCCACACUGGUACUGAGACACGGACCAGACUCCUACGGGAGGCAGCAGUGAGGAAUAUUGGUCAAUGGGCGCAAGCCUGAACCAGCCAUGCCGCGUGCAGGAUGAAGCAUCUAUGGUGUGUAAACUGCUUUUGUACGGGAAGAAACAGAGGUUCGUGAACCUCCUUGACGGUACCGUAAGAAUAAGGAUCGGCUAACUCCGUGCCAGCAGCCGCGGUAAUACGGAGGAUCCAAGCGUUAUCCGGAAUCAUUGGGUUUAAAGGGUCCGUAGGCGGUUUAGUAAGUCAGUGGUGAAAGCCCAUCGCUCAACGGUGGGACGGCCAUUGAUACUGCUAGACUUGAAUUAUUAGGAAGUAACUAGAAUAUGUAGUGUAGCGGUGAAAUGCUUAGAUAUUACAUGGAAUACCAAUUGCGAAGGCAGGUUACUACUAAUGGAUUGACGCUGAUGGACGAAAGCGUGGGUAGCGAACAGGAUUAGAUACCCUGGUAGUCCACGCCGUAAACGAUGGAUACUAGCUGUUCGGAGCAAUCUGAGUGGCUAAGCGAAAGUGAUAAGUAUCCCACCUGGGGAGUACGGGCGCAAGCCU
rnacentral:rRNA from 1 species